rnacentral:rRNA from 1 species
AGGAUGAACGCUGGCGGCGUGCCUAAUACAUGCAAGUCGAGCGGUAAGGCCCCUUCGGGGGUACACGAGCGGCGGACGGCUGAGUAACACGUAGGAACGUACCCCAAACUGAGGGAUAAGCACCAGAAAUGGUGUCUAAUACCGCAUGUGGUCUUCGGAUUAAAGCUUCGGCGGUUUGGGAACGGCCUGCGCAUGAUUAGCUUGUUGGUGAGGUAAAAGCUUACCAAGGCGACGAUCAUUAGCUGGUCUGAGAGGAUGAUCAGCCAGACUGGGACUGAGAACGGCCCAGACUCCUACGGGAGGCAGCAGUAGGGAAUUUUCCACAAUGGGCGAAAGCCUGAUGGAGCAACGCCGCGUGCAGGACGAAGGCCUUCGGGUUGUAAACUGCUUUUAUAUGUGAAGAUUAUGACGGUAGCAUAUGAAUAAGGAUCGGCUAACUCCGUGCCAGCAGCCGC